AUUGAACGCUGGCGGCAGGCCUAACACAUGCAAGUCGAGCGGUAGCACAGAGAGCUUGCUCUCGGGUGACGAGCGGCGGACGGGUGAGUAAUGUCUGGGAAACUGCCUGAUGGAGGGGGAUAACUACUGGAAACGGUAGCUAAUACCGCAUAACGUCGCAAGACCAAAGUGGGGGACCUUCGGGCCUCAUGCCAUCAGAUGUGCCCAGAUGGGACUAGCUGGUAGGUGGGGUAACGGCUCACCUAGGCGACGAUCCCUAGCUGGUCUGAGAGGAUGACCAGCCACACUGGAACUGAGACACGGUCCAGACUCCUACGGGAGGCAGCAGUGGGGAAUAUUGCACAAUGGGCGCAAGCCUGAUGCAGCCAUGCCGCGUGUGUGAAGAAGGCCUUCGGGUUGUAAAGCACUUUCAGCGGGGAGGAAGGCAUUAAGGUUAAUAACCUUAGUGAUUGACGUUACCCGCAGAAGAAGCACCGGUUAACUCCGUGCCAGCAGCCGCAGUAA
rnacentral:rRNA from 1 species